GGAGAAGGGGGAAAGGAAAUGGGUGUAGAUGAAGUUAUUGGAAUGGAGUUCUGCGGAAGGAAGGAAUUUCCUCCUGUUUCUUUCCGAGUCCUCCCAUUCCAACAAUUUCCUCUGGAUUCCUUUCUUUCCCUAACUUCU
rnacentral:miRNA from 1 species